UAAAACCAGCACCUCAAGUGGUCAGGAUGAUUAUUGGGCCUAAAGCAUCCGUAGCCGGCUUUGUUAGUUUUCGGUUAAAUCCAUACGCUCAACGUAUGGGCUGCCGGGGAUACUGCAAGGCUAGGGAGUGGGAGAGGUAGACGGUACUCGGUAGGAAGGGGUAAAAUCCUUUGAUCUAUUGAUGACCACCUGUGGCGAAGGCGGUCUACCAGAACACGUCCGACGGUGAGGGAUGAAAGCUGGGGGAGCAAACCGGAUUAGAUACCCGGGUAGUCCCAGCUGUAAACUAUGCAAACUCGGUGAUGCAUUGGCUUGAUGCCAAUGCAGUGCCGCAGGGAAGCCGUUAAGUUUGCCGCCUGGGAAGUACGUACGCAAGUAUG
rnacentral:rRNA from 1 species